rfam:Musa acuminata subsp. malaccensis Doubled-haploid Pahang (DH-Pahang) genomic chromosome, chr10
GACGGAAAUGAUGAUCGAUGAUUGUUUUCCCUAUUGGUUUGAUUGCCGGUAUGAUGGUUCCCAUUGCAUGAACUCCAUCUGAUCUCUC